CUUGGGUAAGUUGACAAACAGCGCAGGUGCAGGUGGCUUGGACCAGCUACAUGGAAACCCACAGAGAUGUCUGGAUUUUGUUCCCCUGCAUUCAAGGAGACACAACUACGGAAAUUUUGCUGGAUAAACUCCAGGUUUUUGCAGAAGACUCAAAUCCUGAGUGAACAGAUAUUGUGGCCUGUGAAAUCAAAGAGAGAUGCUGAACGUUUCAAGUCAUUCGGUGUCUGUGGACUAAACCCUGUGGAGGAAUGGCCUUGUGGAGUGGAGGUAACCCCGGCUCACUCAGCCAGGCUGGUGUUGGCUUCCACUGGGCUUCAAACCCUGUGUUUACUCUGUAGUCCCGCAUUUGCUUUGCAACAGCCUGAUCAUCAAGGCAGAAAAAAAGAGAGUUGGAGCAUGGCAGGGAGGAUGCUAUUGCUUCUUUUCUUUCUUUGAGUAACAAACAUAAAUAGAAGCAAGACAGGACUUCGAUUUGAUUCUUAAAGAAGGUUUUAGAAUGUUUUGUUCUUGCACAACAAAGGCACAGAGACAAAAAGACUCCUACUUUGAAAGCAAAAUUUAUCUAUCUAAAAAAAAAAGAAACAGAUGAAAAUCAAUCAUUUAAAAAGUUACUGAAACUUUAGUAAAUUACCAAUGGUUUUAGAAAUGAGCAGAUCACUGUUCCUGUGUGUUUGUAUUUCACGUUCAAACAUUUGCAAAAGAAUAACACUACAAAAUCCAAUGUGGUUGAGUUU